rnacentral:lncRNA from 1 species
UCCACUUCCCGGGGUACCCGCCGAAGCGGGCGCUUCUCUUGUUCCGGUUCUCCGCUUUGUCUUCGCCAAUGGCCAUCUCUUUCGGGCUAGCUUCCCGGGUCUUUCCUUCCCGGGAGGCCAACCUGGCAGGGCUUCAUUAGCCGGUGUAACAUCCCAAUUUUCCCAAACCUUGCAUCAUGCAUUUGCACUCAUGAGUAUCGUGUCAUUUAUGCACUUUUAAACCAAGGAUUUAAAAUUUAAAAUCUUUUAUUAAGCUUUUGCCGUUUAAUCUCCCUUGCUACGUUUUGGAAUUCUUCAACCCAUGAGGUUUUUGUCAAUAGAAAGGGGUUUAAUGCAAUAAGACAAGCUACCCCAUAAUUUUUGUAAUUUAUUUUGGAGGUGAAAAACUAUUUUGUUUUUAAAUAUUAUUGCACUAGAGGCAACUAUUUAAGCAAAAUUAUUUUUAAUUUAUUUGAGGUCAUUUGGAGUUCAAAAUCAAAAGAUAUAAAAGAAAAACAGAAAAGAAAAGGAGAAAAGAAAAAGAACAAAAAAAAGGUAAAACAGGACCGGCCCAGCCCGCGCCCGCGAGCCGGCCCAGCAGCGCAACGCAGCCCAACUGCCGCCGCCCUUUGUCCAACGGACACUGAUAGGUGGGACCCACCUGUCAGUCGUCUUCAACCCUCGGCCGAGAAUCUAGCGAGCACCUCCAUCAAUCCUCGUCUUCAAUACGCGAUUUAGAGCCCGCCUUUAAGCACCCCUUGUGCGUCACUAUAAAAGGGGCCUUCCCCUCUCUCAUUUCCCCCACACCACCCCGGCCAACUCGCGCCCACGCCGCCACAAUCGCUCGCCGGAGCCGGCCAUUUUUGCUUCCCGGAGUCA